rnacentral:rRNA from 1 species
GACGAACGCUGGCGGCGUGCUUAACACAUGCAAGUCGAACGGUGAAGCUCCAGCUUGCUGGAGUGGAUCAGUGGCGAACGGGUGAGUAACACGUGAGCAACCUGCCCCUGACUCUGGAAUAAGCGCUGGAAACGGCGUCUAAUACUGGAUACGAGUAGGGUCCGCAUGGGCACUUUCUGGAAAGUUUUUCGGUUGGGGAUGGGCUCGCGGCCUAUCAGCUUGUUGGUGAGGUAAUGGCUCACCAAGGCGACGACGGGUAGCCGGCCUGAGAGGGCGACCGGCCACACUGGGACUGAGACACGGCCCAGACUCCUACGGGAGGCAGCAGUGGGGAAUAUUGCACAAUGGGCGAAAGCCUGAUGCAGCGACGCCGCGUGAGGGAUGACGGCCUUCGGGUUGUAAACCUCUUUCAGCAGGGAAGAAGCGAAAGUGACGGUACCUGCAGAAGAAGCACCGGCUAACUACGUG